AAAUUGAAGAGUUUGAUCAUGGCUCAGAUUGAACGCUGGCGGCAGGCCUAACACAUGCAAGUCGAGCGGUAGCACAGAGAGCUUGCUCUCGGGUGACGAGCGGCGGACGGGUGAGUAAUGUCUGGGAAACUGCCUGAUGGAGGGGGAUAACUACUGGAAACGGUAGCUAAUACCGCAUAAUGUCGCAAGACCAAAGUGGGGGACCUUCGGGCCUCAUGCCAUCAGAUGUGCCCAGAUGGGAUUAGCUAGUAGGUGGGGUAACGGCUCACCUAGGCGACGAUCCCUAGCUGGUCUGAGAGGAUGACCAGCCACACUGGAACUGAGACACGGUCCAGACUCCUACGGGAGGCAGCAGUGGGGAAUAUUGCACAAUGGGCGCAAGCCUGAUGCAGCCAUGCCGCGUGUGUGAAGAAGGCCUUCGGGUUGUAAAGCACUUUCAGCGGGGAGGAAGGCGGUGAGGUUAAUAACCUCAUCGAUUGACGUUACCCGCAGAAGAAGCACCGGCUAACUCCGUGCCAGCAGCCGCGGUAAUACGGAGGGUGCAAGCGUUAAUCGGAAUUACUGGGCGUAAAGCGCACGCAGGCGGUCUGUCAAGUCGGAUGUGAAAUCCCCGGGCU
rnacentral:rRNA from 1 species